rnacentral:tRNA from 1 species
GCGGGCGUUGCAAAAAGGUAUUGCCUCAGCCUUCCAAGCUGAUGUUGCGGGUUCGAUUCCCGCCGCCCGCU